CGCAGGGGAGCUGGUAAUCCCGGCUGAGAGGAAGUUAGAACUUCGACCCUUAAACCUGAUUCGGAUAAUGCCGACGUAGGAAAAUUAAUUACU
rnacentral:ncRNA from 1 species